rnacentral:tRNA from 1 species
AGCCCGGUGGUGUAGCGGUCAAGCAUAGCGGGCUUUGGACCCGUUGACGCCAGUUCGAAUCUGGCCCGGGCUACCA